rnacentral:snRNA from 1 species
AUACUCUGGUUUCUCUUCAGAUCGUAUAAAUCUUUCGCCUUUUACUAAAGAUUUCCGUGGAGAGGAACAAGCACAAGUGUCGUGGAAUUUUUUUAGUCCUAUGAGGAGCGGCU